UGAUCCGAGGAUUUCCGAAUGGGGGAACCCGCCGGCCGUCAUGGGCCGGCACCGCGUUCGCGCGGGGGGUACGCAGGGAAGUGAAACAUCUCAGUACCUGCAGGAAAGGAUGUUCCGUGAGUAGUGGCGAGCGAAAGCGGAUCAGGCCAAACCGCGCGCGUGUGACAGGCGCCAGCCGUUGCGCGCGUGGUGUUGAGGGAGCGUGUGUCCGGGUCCUGGCGGGCCCGGCCGGAGUGAUAAAACGGCGUGUGAGGCGAACCGGAUUGAAUGCCGGGCCGCAGAGGGUGAUGGCCCCGUAGCCGAACGCGCGUCGUCUCCGGAUCGUGUCUCCCAAGUAGCGCGGGACUCGUGGAAUCCCGUGUGAAUCCGCCCCGACCGUGGGGUAAGCCUAGAUAUACCUGUCUGACCGAUAGCGAACUAGUACCGUGAGGGAAAGGUGAAAAGCACCCCGGGAGGGGAGUGAAACAGUCUCUGAAACCGUGCGCCUACAAUCCGUCGGAGCCCUUUUGUGGGGUGACGGCGUGCCUAUCGAAAAAUGAGUCUGCGAGUCAGUGGCAUGUGGCGAGCAUAACCCGUGUGGGGUAUGCGUAGCGAAGGCGAGUCUUAAAAGGCGUUUGAGUCGCGUGUCCUGGACCCGAAGCGGGAUGAUCUAGCCCUGAGCAGGUUGAAGCGCGGGUAAGACCGCGUGGAGGACCGAACCCACCUGGGUUGAAAACCGGGGGGAUGACUUGGGGUUAGGGGUGAAAGGCCAAUCAAAUUCCGUGAUAGCUGGUUCUCUCCGAAAUGCAUUUGGGUGCAGCGUCGGGUCAUUACGUCCCGGGGGUAGAGCUACUGGAUGCUUGCGGGCCCGUAUCGGGUACCAACAGCAACCAAACUCCGAAUACCGGUGACGCGUAUCCCGGCAGUGAGUCGGCGGGGGAUAAGCUUCGUCGUCGAAAGGGAAACAGCCCAGACCGUCGUCUAAGGUCCCGAAGCGUGUGCUAAGUGGGAAAGGAUGUGGAGUCGCAUAGACAGCCAGGAGGUUGGCUCAGAAGCAGCCACCCUUGAAAGAGUGCGUAACAGCUCACUGGUCUAGUGGUUCCGCGCCGACAAUGUAGCGGGGCUCAAGCACACCACCGAAGACGCGGCAGUAUUUUGUACUGGGUAGGAGAGCGUCCCAUGAGGGGCGAAGCGGCCGUGUGAACGCGCCGUGGACUUCAUGGGAGUGAGAAUGCAGACAUGAGUAGCGAGAGACGGGUGAAGAUCCCGUCCGCUGGAUGACCAAGGGUUCCAGGGCCACGUUCAUCGUCCCUGGGUGAGUCGGGUCCUAAGGCGAGGCCGACAGGCGUAGUCGAAUGGAUGAACGGGUCGAUAUUCCCGUACCGGCUUUCAGCCGCCAAAACCGAGGCUUGGAGUACUAACCUCCGGGUCCGGGCUUACUGCUCCUUCGGGGGCGGGAUGCCCUGGCCUGUUGGGACCGAUCCUUGUAGUAGGUCAGCGCAGGAGUGACGCAGAAGGGUAGCCGGCCGCGGAGGUGGUCUUCCGUGGUCAAGCACGCAGGGCGUGGGACAGGCAAAUCCGUCCCGCAUGGGUCCGAGGUGCGAUGAUGGGGGCCUUAUGGCCCGAUAUCCGGUGAUCCCGGCUGCCGAGAAAAGCUUCGGCGUCAGGCUCAAAGCCGCCCGUACCCCAAACCGACACUGGUGGUCAGGUAGAGAAUACCAAAGCGAUCGAGCGAAUCCUGGUCAAGGAACUCGGCAAAUCACUCCCGUUCCUUCGGUUUAAGGGAGACCCCCGAUGGUGAACACACUUGCUGUGGGAGCUUUUGGGGGUGGCACAGACCAGGGGGUAGCGACUGUUUACCAAAAACACAGGUGCAUGCGAAGGCGCAAGCCGCUGUAUAUGCACUGACGCCUGCCCGGUGCCGGAAGGUUAAGAGGAUCCGUCAGCCUUCGGGUGAAGCGGUGAAUUCAAGCCCCGGUAAACGGCGGUGGUAACUAUAACCAUCCUAAGGUAGCGAAAUUCCUUGUCGGGUAAGUUCCGACCUGCACGAAUGGCGU
rnacentral:rRNA from 1 species